CAUAGAAGGACACAUUUCUGCGGCUGGCUCCAGACCUGCUGAACAGAAAGAGGGUCUCACUAAGUUUAUGAGUGCCUCCCUAAGUUGCCCAUAUUGGCCUUGAACUUGUGAUCCUCCUGCCUCAGCCUCCCAAGUCACCUGGGAUUAAAGGCAUGCACCACCAUGCCUCAAUUGAACCCUGACUCCUCACUACUCCACAUUCACCAGAGUUUCUCAGUUUGAGGCCUGCUGGAUCCAUCAAGUUUUCCUCUUUCAGAAAUUGGAAAUCGGAGAGAGGUGGCUUCAGAUGCCCAAGGAUGGGAAACCUACCUGUCGCACAAUUUUUCUUUGGCUGCUAUCAACCUCUCAUUUUGCAGGCUCUGAUCCCAGGCUCAGCCUCUUCUUCUAGCUGAAGCCAACCUCCUAGGAGAAGGAUGCAAGGAGGAAACCAUCCUGCCUGGAGUGCAGAUAAAACCACCAUCAGAGUCUCCUGUAAUGUCACUGUUCUUCAGCCCCAUGGCUCACAGCACUCACCUUCAUGUCCAGGAUGAG